rnacentral:rRNA from 1 species
UACCAGCACCCCGAGUGGUCGGGACGAUUAUUGGGCCUAAAGCAUCCGUAGCCGGUCCUGCAAGUCUUCCGUUAAAUCCAGCUGCUCAACAGAUGGGCUGCGGGGGAUACUACAGGGCUAGGAGGCGGGAGAGGCAAGCGGUACUUUAUGGGUAGGGGUAAAAUCCGUUGAUCCAUAGAAGACCACCAGUGGCGAAGGCGGCUUGCCAGAACGCGCUCGACGGUGAGGGAUGAAGCUGGGGGAGCAAACCGG